GUGUUGGGUAUCUGGGAAGGGACCCCAGAUCCCAAUCUUACCUUUAUGUGCUUACAGCCCCAGGAGACAUCUUGGCAGUAACGACAUGAGACACCCUGAGCUGAGAUCGCCCAGCUAAGCUACUCCUAGAUCCCUGGACCCACUGGAUCUAAGAAACUUCUAUAAAAAGGUUGCUUUAAGCCACCAAGCUUUAGGAUGUUUAGUUACACCACAACAGAAACAAGUUUAAUAGGUCCUUACAAAGCACACAGGAUGAAGUCAGAAGGGAAGAAAUGGUCAUCCUGACCCAUUAGAACCUGACAGCUUCUUUUCUAAUCCAAAGGACUUCAGCACAGCAGAACACCUCUCUCUAGGAGGCUACAAGGUUUGCCAGCUCUCCAUGGAACAAGUUACAUUCUUCAUAUGUGACCAGCCAAUUACAAUGUCUGGGCAAGCCAAGCUUGGAGCUGUGGCCUACAGGGUAAUUACAAUGUUUCUGCAACGGAAGGACAAUGAUUGUCUCUGGAAGCCACCCGAAACCAUCAAGUUCCUGCCUAACUCAGGGCAAAAUUCUGCUGUGCACAGGAGGAGGCGUCACAGAAGAGCAGGAAAAUUCUGCUGUGCACAGGAGCCUUCAUGGAAGAGCAGGCAGCUCUGUUCCGGGGUACAAAGGUCCACAACCUGCUCUGCAGAUGGGCUCCGUUUGCUUCCAGGGGUACUGCUUCCAAAGCUGCCAUUCUGCAACAUUUCCAGUUUCUGCAGUUUCACAGGAGACUGGAGAUCUGGCCUUGGCCUGUGAAGUGUGGAGGAAGAAGCUCCCCACCAAAGGUGAGCAAGGACCCACGCCCUGGGCUGGGAGAGGUGAGAGUGGGGGUCAGUGGGUGAACAUUUUGCUUUGAUCUCUCAAAG